GAGGCAGCAGUGGGGAAUAUUGCACAAUGGGCGGAAGCCUGAUGCAGCAACGCCGCGUGAGGGAUGACGGCCUUCGGGUUGUAAACCUCUUUUAGCAGGGAAGAAGCGAGAGUGACGGUACCUGCAGAAAAAGCGCCGGCUAACUACGUGCCAGCAGCCGCGGUAAUACGUAGGGCGCAAGCGUUAUCCGGAAUUAUUGGGCGUAAAGAGUUCGUAGGCGGUCUGUCGCGUCUGCUGUGAAAACCCGAGGCUCAACCUCGGGCCUGCAGUGGGUACGGGCAGACUAGAGUGCGGUAGGGGAGAUUGGAAUUCCUGGUGUAGCGGUGGAAUGCGCAGAUAUCAGGAGGAACACCGAUGGCGAAGGCGGAUCUCUGGGCCGUAACUGACGCUGAGGAGCGAAAGGGUGGGGAGCAAACAGGCUUAGAUACCCUGGUAGUCCACCCCGUAAACGUUGGGAACUAGUUGUGGGGACCUUUCCACGGUCUCCGUGACGCAGCUAACGCAUUAAGUUCCCCGCCUGGGGA
rnacentral:rRNA from 1 species